GUUUCCGGCAUUUCUCCUCCUUAUUUAGUUGCGGCAAGCCCGUCUCGAUAGGAUGACAGCUUUUAGAAGGACUGAAGUAAGCGAGUUUCAAUAUCAUUUUAAGCCACUUUCUUGGUGCGGAUUUAUUUUGCCCAAUGGAAAGUCACCGAGCAAGCUAGAAAUCUUCCGCCUCUUGUCAUACCACAUUGCAAGUGUCGCGAGCCAUGCCUUGACUCUAGUUCAUUUUUUGGUGAAGCCUUAUCAGUUGAGGAGAACUAUUGUUACCAUGAUAGUUUUGAGCAACGGAUUCCAAACGACAUUUCGACCAACCGACAUUAUAUACAGGAAAAGAAAGGUUGAAAAAAUGAUUUCAGACUUCGAAGAACCUCCAGAUUGCGAUUGCCUUGAAUUUAUUGAAAAAGAAACUCAAAUGAGGCGAAAAUCGAAGAAAGGGAUAGUCAGGUUGAGCGCAAUUCUGUACUCUUACAACGCCCUGCUAGUAUUCUCUACAUUAUUCACCGUAGUG